CAGCAGGAUGGCUUCACGGCUCUUCUGCUGUCCUGAGCUCCUCUUUGUCGAAUCCUAUUCCCAGUGGGCCCAGCUGACAGCCAAGAGCUGUUCUCAUGUUCAUCCAGCCUGUGAUCUCAGGGGGUUUCUGGCCACAGUCACCCUGAGCCCGUCGUCCUUCCACCUCCGAGUGAGGCCCCCUGAGCCCCAGGCUUCCCUCCCCAUCAGAGCGCCCACACCUGGCCCCACCCCCGAGGAAGGACUCACUGCAUCUCACUUACUCUAGGGCCAGAAGGACCAGCAGGACCAGAAGCACCUUGGUCUCCAGAAGGACCCUGAGCAGAAGGAAGAAGCAAAAGUCAGAGCUUUUACUGAAUUAAGGAUACUCACAGCUUCUCCUCGGUCUCCCUGCUUUCCAGUUGGGCCAGCGGGGCCAGGAGAGCCAGGGGGCCCAGGGGCUCCAGGAGCACCCACGGGACCAGUCUCACCACGAUCACCCUGUCAGGAGAGAGGUCUCAGGCUUAGAGAAGAAUGUUCCAGAAAAUCCAUGGAGAAAAGGCCCUUGAAACUGAGACAAGACUCUGACUCCAGCCUACCACCUGGGGCUGACCUGGUAGGCCCAACAGAAUAUUCUCCUGUCCCACUGCUCAUAGAGACACCGAGAUAUUCACCUUGACUCCAGCCGCACCAUCUCUGCCAGGGGGGCCAUCAGCACCAGGGCUUCCCUGGACAAGAGGAAACAAGAUGCCGUUAGAGCUGCCCCUGCCAGACUCCCAUUCUGUUCCUCCCUUCUCCUGUCGGGAGCCCCAGGCUUGUUCCCUUCCAUCCUGCUAAAGCUUUGGAAGCUCAACAAGCUUCGUUCUGCCUUCC